GACGAACGCUGGCGGCGUGCUUAACACAUGCAAGUCGAACGAAAGCGUAGAGAAAGCUUGCUUUUUCUACAAUCUAGUGGCAAACGGGUGAGUAACGCGUAAACAACCUGCCCUACGGAUGGGGACAACAGCUGGAAACGGCUGCUAAUACCGAAUACGUUCCGAAAGUCGCAUGACUAUCGGAAGAAAGGAUGGCCUCUAUUUAUAAGCUAUCGCCGGAGGAGGGGUUUGCGUCUGAUUAGCUAGUUGGAGGGGUAACGGCCCACCAAGGCGACGAUCAGUAGCCGGUCUGAGAGGAUGAACGGCCACAUUGGAACUGAGACACGGUCCAGACUCCUACGGGAGGCAGCAGUGGGGAAUCUUCCGCAAUGGGCGAAAGCCUGACGGAGCAACGCCGCGUGAGUGAAGACGGCCUUCGGGUUGUAAAGCUCUGUUAUACGGGACGAAUAAUCUUGUGGUUAAUACCCAUGAGAAGUGACGGUACCGUAAGAGAAAGCCACGGCUAACUACGUG
rnacentral:rRNA from 1 species